rnacentral:rRNA from 1 species
AUUGAACGCUGGCGGAAUGCUUUACACAUGCAAGUCGAACGGCAGCACGGGGGCAACCCUGGUGGCGAGUGGCGAACGGGUGAGUAAUACAUCGGAACGUGCCCAGUCGUGGGGGAUAACGUAGCGAAAGCUACGCUAAUACCGCAUACGAACUCUGGUUGAGAGCGGGGGAUCGCAAGACCUCGCGCGAUUGGAGCGGCCGAUGGCAGAUUAGGUAGUUGGUGGGGUAAAGGCCUACCAAGCCGACGAUCUGUAGCUGGUCUGAGAGGACGACCCGCAAGACUGGGGCUGAGACACGGCCCAGACUCCGACGGGGGGAAGCGGUGGGGAAUUUUGGACAAUGGGCGAAAGCCUGAUCCAGCCAUUCGGCGGGCAGGAUGAAGGCCCUCGGGUUGUAAACUGCUUUUGUACGGAACGAAACGGUCCUGGUUAAUACCUGGGGCUAAUGACGGUACCGUAAGAAUAAGCACCGGCUAACUACGUGCCAGCCGCCGCGGUAACAC